UACGUAGGGGGCAAGCGUUAUCCGGACUUACUAGGUGUAAAGGGGGCGCAGACGGCGAUGCAAGCCAGGAGUGAAAGCCCGGGGCCCAACCCCGGGACUGCUCUUGGAACUGCGUGGCUGGAGUGCAGGAGGGGCAGGCGGAAUUCCUGGUGUAGCGGUGAAAUGCGUAGAUAUCAGGAGGAACACCGGUGGCGAAGGCGGCCUGCUGGACUGCAACUGACGUUGAGGCCCGAAAGCGUGGGGAGCAAACAGG
rnacentral:rRNA from 1 species